CCGUUUCCAUAGCCCAACCUCCCAACCAUCUCCAGCCACAGCAGGCUCAGGCUCCCAGACAGGUAGCCCUUGAACUCCAGAUUCAUGGAUGAGUUACUGACAGGUGUCUACUCCAACCUGAAUCUAGGGACUUGCAAAUGGAGAAGAAAUUUCAAGUGGUGGCUCUACUCUGGAUCACAUUUCUGCUUUGAAAAGACAACAGGUCUGGUCUGGACGCCCAGGUAGUGAGUUAUCACCCUCCACUCCUGCAACUUCCAUUGAGCUGAUUUCAAGUGGGCUUAUGUAUUGUCUCUGCUACUGCCAAAAACACCGCAGGGGCUCUCCAGCCUACACAAUAGGUGUGUAGGCGCACUCCUGCACACGUGGGUGCCCGCAACCACCCCAUCAUUUUCCCAGGCUUAUUUUGCAGUGGUAUGAAAGAGCACAAAGAAUUUCGAAGUCAGUUGUAUUCUUCGCUGUUAUUAUUAGUUGUAGUGCAUUGAAGAGGGACAAACAAUGCAGCUCGUUCUGUCGCCUCUCCAGUCCUAGAGAUUUCUUUUCGAGAAUUAAUAUUUAUUUAUUUUUUUGUCACUGUGUUGAAAGAACUCAAGAAAGACUAAUUACUCUCCUCUCUCUUUUAGCUGAGCAUAAAGCUGGAUCCGACAGUGAGGCUGAGUGAUCUGCUACGGGGUGGUGUUUUUGUGUCUUGGCUUGAAGGGGAAUCUUGAUUGGGGAAUCUCCUGAGUCUUUGCAUGUGUCUUUGGGAAAUUGUGAGCAGCACACCCGGCACCCAUGUCCAAGGUGGCAAUCAAGGCCCUGAGCGACAGCAUUAGAUGCCCAUGUGGAUGAUGGCACAGAAGGACCCUCCAACUCCCAUCUUCCCAAUUUCCCCUUGAUCCAUGAAUUUUUCUGUUUGGUGCAGAAAUAGUACUCUCCGUUCUCAAAGCUGGGCACAGUCUUGUAUAAAACCCACUCUACUGCUUCUGACUGAGUCUUUGUGCCCCAGGACUGAGGGGUGAGGGCCCUCGGAAGCAGCCUCUGCAAGUGGGUGGUCUUGACCCCACCCCCAAUCCCCAGCCCAAAGUCCCCCUGCCCCACCUUCUCUAGACUGCAGUGAUCCCAUCCAACCAUGCGGUGGUUUCACUCAGAAACUCUCCAGCGCUCACACUGCUCAGUGCGGCCACAGAUCACGUGAUACACUCACGAAGCCCGGGUCCUUCGUUUGCAAGUACCGAAGCUGAGCCUAAGAUCCCCGUGGAAGAGUUUCUUAGCUGGAUGAAUCUUUAAAGGUCAAGCAUAGAUAGAAAUUUCCUAGAUGGAAGCUCAGAGGAUCCUUAUAGCCGCCCGUGGCAGAACUACUGGUUUGAAAUGAUUCCCUAGUGGCUCAGUGGUAAAGAAUCCGUUUGCAAUGCAGGAGACAGGAGACGUGGGUUUUAUCCCUGGAUCUGGAAGAUCCCCUGGAGGAGGUUGUGGCAACCCCCUCCAGUACCACUGCUGGGAAAAUCCCACGGACAGAGGAGCCUGGCAGGCUACGGCCCACGGGGUCGCAAAGAGUUGGAAGCGACUGAGCGACUGAGCAUGAGCAGCACGAUCUGGUGAGAACCCUGGAAGUUCCGAGGAGGAGCAUCAAGUCUGCCCGCCCUCCUGCUCCCUCCAGCCAGGCCUUGAGCUGCCUGGAGCCCAUUAUGAGACAAACAAGGUGGGGUGGCCCUGGAGCUGGGAAAACACGUGUUCCAGCUCCAGGAGCAGGCUGUGCAACUCUGGGCCCAGCUCACCCCCUCUCUGAGCCUUUCACAUUUGUAAAAGGAGGGAGUCGCACCAGAUUACCUCUGGGGUUCCUACUGCUGCAUGAUUUUUAUUGUUUUAUGUUUAUUUAUCUUCGGCUGCACCGGCUCUUGGUUGCAGUACACAGGCUUCCUCUGGUUACAGCUCUCGGGCUUAGUUGCCCUGCAGCAUGUGAGAGCUCAGUUCCCUGACCAGGGAUGGAACCCCCGUCCUCUGCAGUGCAAAGUGGAUUCUUAACCACUGGACUGCCAGAGAAGCCCCUGCAUGAUUUUUUAUUUAAAAAAAAAAAACAAACAACUCCUCCAUUUUGAGGAGCUCUGAGACGUGACAGAAAGCAUUUCCAAGGGGGGACAUCUGAGUUUCCUCUAGAAAUUUUCAAGAGGGAAAAUAUCUACCAAUAGGAAAGCAGCAGCAAGAGAUAUCCUUGAAAUAUGGGGCAAGGGUGGGGCCGGAACUGGGGCCCUGGACCACAUACUCUCCCCUGGAUCUUUAAACUAAGAUCAGACAUUUUCUACAAAACAGGCCACUGGACAGCAACUCAGCAACCCAGGGACGUGGUCCACUGCUUGCGUUAAUGCUCCCUAAUGGAGACACAAGGACCGUGUCCCGGCCUGCAUUUCACUGCUCUGGGAGUGGGAGGGGUCUAAUCCCCCCACCCCUGAGAGGCAGGACUAACCGCAGGCUGGAGCAAAGAGGUGGCAAGACAAGAGUAGGAACUCCGGAAUCACUUGAAAAGAACAAAUAGAUCAAAAACCACAAGCAACAUCAGCAGGUCCCAGAGGGCAAGGCAAGCCCGCAAAUAUUGAUGCUGAAGCCGGUUGAGAAGUCCAUCCAGGAAGGCCAGGAAAUCAGGAAGCUGGCAGUCCCACCAAGGGCUAUUCAGAGCCCCAGCCACGGCGACCAUCUCCGCUCCUGCGGCUUUUUCUAAUGGACGUGGAGCCUCCAAAUCCCUCUUUCUGGGCCCCUCACGGGGCUGUUAACACUGUUUGCCAGCGAAAAAGUUCAGGAAGAUAUCAAACCAACUGUUCCGUGGCUUUCCUGCCCUGCUGCCUUCUGUAACAGGAGGUGGGGAGUGGAGCCAGCUGGCCCACCGCCCCCUCCUCUCUACUAGGGCUCCCACGAGAGGGGUCACCUGGCAGUGAAUCAAGAAAAGAGUCUUUAGAGAGAAGGAGAGCUAACCGCCUACCUGCCUCUCUGCAGCUGCCAGCACUGAUAUGGGAGCCCUGUGCUUGGCGGGUCAGAGUCUCAGCUGAAAACUAUUAGGGUCGGCGGCUUUCCCUGUCUGACCUCAUUCCAUCUCGGUGAUUGGAAACUGGGAGGGGUCGUGGAGAUCAAUCCAACUCAUUUCUUUGAUAGUGAGCAAAUACAGAAGUUUGGGAAUGGGAAGAGAUGUACCCAGAGUUGUACGGGCAAGAGAGCCAGAAUAAGAAGCGAAAUCUGCACAGGUGAAAAUGCACGAUAGAGCCUGAGAUGAUUCCAAGAGUCAGCAGACCCUGUAAGAGCCAAGUGACUCAUCUCUGGGGACCCAUCUAAGGGAAGAUGCUAAGGAGCUGGAGGGACCAGGCUGGCAGAUGCAACCAGGUGGCCAUGUGGGACUUGAGAGAAGCUCUCAAAUAACAGGAUGACAUCCAUACUCCCAGGCACAAGGGUCUGCAGACCAAUGGAUGAGAAGAAAAAUGUCACUGUCGUCAUCACUGGAGGAGGAAGAGACAGGGCAAGAGGAAGCAGCAAAAGAGGAGGGACCACAUGAAGCUCUGGUUUAGGAAGUUAAAAUCAAACUCGAAGACCAGUGCCCUGCACAGGGCUUCAUUCUAAGAAGAUGCAAUAAAGAGAAGGCAGUCAGGAGGGAAGAUGGAGGGAGAGAAUAAGGGUAAAAUGAAGGCAGUUUGGCUAUGUCUACAAAACCUGGGAGGAUGACAGACCUUUUAUUGAAACUACAGAAUGUUAGUAUGGACCUCCGUAUGGAAAACACCUAGAGAACGUUCUUCCUGAGCUCACCUUUCCAGAGAACUUUAGCAUAGACAACAGUGAGAUCUGGGGAAAAUCAGGGGGAACAGGCAGGGAUUCUAAUAGACAAUGUGAAGAACUUCCCAGCUGUAAUAGCUUCCCAGAAGAGGGUUCACUUGAAGGGGCUUUGUAGGAUGGCCAGGAGGAAAGAGCAUACCAGUCAAAGGCAACACCAUAUGUAAAGCCCAAAGAUGUGAAAUGGCCAAGGAUGUCCAAGGAAGUGCAGUUGUUUGGGUCUGGCUGGACAAAGGUUUGUAGGGGGAGAGUGGCCAGGGAUAAAGCUGAAUCAAUGGGCUGGUCCCACUCCUGGGAAAAUCAUUCAAGGAAUAUGGACUUCUAGUGAAGGUAACUGGGAGCCAUUGAAAGUAGUAGCAGGGAAGCUGCGUUAUCACCGGCACGUUUUAGGACAAGCACUCUGGCUGCAGGAAGGGAAGUGGACUUAGGAGACUUGCAGCAGCAACACAAGCUGAAGGGCCAUCGCAAAGCUCUGAGAGCCCGAGUGGCUGCAGGAUGGAGGGAUAGAGGGCAGAAGGGCCCACUGGGUGAGUAUGGACAGGACUAGGUGACUGGUGGGAUGUGGAAGAAUCUAUGAGUCCUGCAUUCCUGGUGUGGGUGAUGGGCAGUGGACACCACUAACCAGGUCAGACAUAAGAAGGAAGAAGUUUGACAGUGAGGUGAUGAAUUUACCUUCUGACGUCUCAACUGUGGAGUUGCAGGGGGACCUUCAGGUAGGGAUGGCAAAGUGGUGGUUGGACACAUGGGGCGGGAGCUGGAGGUGUGUGGGUCAUCCAUGUACACGUGACCCUCUGGUCUUUUUUUUUUUCCAACUGGACUGCACAACUUUCGAGAUCUUAGUUCCCCAGCCAGGGAUCGAACCCCAGUGAAAGCGCCAAGUCCUAACCACUGGACCACCAGGGAACUUCCUUCUCUCUGGUCUUUUAAAUUGUGGGCCUGUUGCCUUUUCUCAGGGCCCCCAGGAACUUGGUCACAUCUAGAGGAGGGUGGGCGAGCCACUUGGGGAGGAGAGACCCUCCUCUGGGAUAAUGAGAGAGGGUGAGUGGGAAUCCCUAGGGAGGAGCCCCCUCCUUGCGAGAUGCAGGUCUUUAGGACCAAGGAGCAUCUCUCAUGUAAGACAGAAAGCUCUUCAUCAAGCUGUUCUUGGCCUGGCCCCCUUGGCUGAGCAACUGCUCACACAUGGAGCUUAAUGCUAACAAGAAGCAAAUGGUCUUCCUAAGAGAUUUUUGAGUGAGAAGCCCAGAGCCCUUCUUUGCCAUGAUGGCUAUAGGAAGUGCAGGCUCAGGAAUGGAGGGAGAAGGAAAGAGAGGAAGACUGGGGGAUGGGGAGAGGGAGCGGCAAUCAGCAGCGAGGACUCAGGGGGAGGAGGGGGCUGGGAAAACGGGAUGAGGGAGACAAAGAGAUAUCAAGCCCUAGGGUAUCACCAACAGGCUGGAGCAACUGAUGAACAAUUCAGACUUUGACCCGAGUCCUUCAGAAGCGCCCCACCAUCUCUUUCAGUGUCCUGGGGAGUGCGAGUGUCCAGCCGGCUCUCUCCUGGACUCCCGUCUUUGUCAGACGCCCACACACACCCCAUACAGUGUCCUCCGAGAUGGUGGGCGGCACGGCCCCCUCUUGCCAGGCCAUGUUUGCCAUCCCUGAGCCAGAGACCUGCUGACCGGUAAGCCUGGGCGGGCAGAGUCCUCCCGCUUCUGCGGUAGAGAGUAGAAAGGGAAUCAGCCUCUUUCUUUGGACUUGCUACCUGACAGUGCUGGGAAAUCGCAAAGCUAUUUAUUCCCCUCUCCAGCCAGUGGCGUGCAAAAGCCCACUUGAAGGGACACCGCCAAAGUCAAGAGGCCUCCUCUGUGACCCGGGCCACGAGGCUCAAGGACCAGACAGUGCUUCAGACAGCAGCUGUGUCCAAGUGUCAGUCUGCGAUCACCAACGCGGAGCAGGCGGCGACUUCUCAGAUGAGUCCGAAAGGGACGGUCGGUCACAUGGACCUUCCCGACUGAGGGUGGUGAUGGGGGCGCCUCUGCGGGGGAGGAAAGGGGAGACAGAAGCAAAGCAUGUUUGAGAUGAGAAGGAAAAGACCAAUUUGCCCUGCGAGGCAGCAUCUCCCUCUCCAUUGCAGAGACCGUGGACCAAUUAUUCCAUCAAGUUCGAUAUUAGAGAAGCCAACUUCAUUAGAGCUUCAAGGCGCAUGAAACGUUAAUCAUGGAACCUUGAUAUUCUUCUGCAGGAGAGACUUACUCUGGAAA